AUCUCACUGGAGAUCCCUGCAUACUGGAGUCCUUCUAAAGAGUGAAAACCUAGGAGGCAAAUUCAGGCCUUCCAGAAUUAAGUUUCUGAGGUCUGGAGCUGUGUGUGGGGGUGUUUCCCUGAGGAAGUUGCCAGCAAAGUGAGUACUGCUGAGCUGAGUGCAGCACUUCUCGCUGGAGCACAUCUGUCGGUACGAUGAAUGAAUAGCACGGCAAGAAUGCAGUGUAUCAUUAGUUUGAGGAAGAAAACAGUCCUCCAUUUGUGGUUGAUCUAGAACUGAAGGUCAGCACAGUGUUAAUCCAUGGCUUCACAAUCACAGUACUUUCUGAUUAGUAUUACUGUGGAACAGGCUUCCAAAGCAAAUCACAGGGCACUUCUGUUUCAGGCUUAAAAUGAAAGUCUCAGGAACCCAAGACUGAGCUGCUUACUCUGAGAUGUACUGUGUAAACUUCAGUGUGUCCUGAAUGCUUGAACAGGAGUGAAUUUGCAUGGCAAAAGAGUAUGUGUGCCUAAGUCUAAUAAAUAUCUUGUAUUUUUCAAGUUGCAAAAUGCUUGGUUUGAACCAUACGUGAUCUCGUUUCUGCUUGAAAAUUCUGUUCAGGAUAGUAAAGCUAGCAGAGCAGUCUAAAAAAUGAGUGUAUGUUGGUAGCACGUUUCAGCAUAGUUUUAUGUAGCUAGACUGAACAUCCAUUGUGAUGCAGAAUUUUGUGUGCUGCCAAUUUCAUUUCAAUUGAAUUGUGAAUAUGCGCUGUUGCUGAUUGUAUUAAUAUGUAAUUAUUACUGUGAAUCUAAUCCCCUGAAAC
ensembl:lncRNA